AUUGAACGCCGGCGGCAUGCCUUACACAUGCAAGUCGAACGGUAACAGGUCUUCGGAUGCUGACGAGUGGCGAACGGGUGAGUAAUACAUCGGAACGUGCCUAGUAGUGGGGGAUAACUACUCGAAAGAGUGGCUAAUACCGCAUGAGAUCUACGGAUGAAAGCAGGGGAUCGCAAGACCUUGUGCUACUAGAGCGGCCGAUGGCAGAUUAGGUAGUUGGUGGGAUAAAAGCUUACCAAGCCGACGAUCUGUAGCUGGUCUGAGAGGACGAUCAGCCACACUGGGACUGAGACACGGCCCAGACUCCUACGGGAGGCAGCAGUGGGGAAUUUUGGACAAUGGGCGCAAGCCUGACCCAGCAACGCCGCGUGCAGGAUGAAGGCCUUCGGGUUGUAAACUGCUUUUGUACGGAACGAAAAGCCCUGGGUUAAUACCCUGGGGUCAUGACGGUACCGUAAGAAUAAGCACCGGCUAACUACGUGCCAGCCGCCGCCGUAAUAC
rnacentral:rRNA from 1 species